UCAGUCCUUCAGUGCAGUGAUUGCAGCGUCACUGUUAGUUAUUGUAUCCUAGAGGACCCUAUCUUCUCCCACCCCCUUCCUAUAUUACAUAACCUUGCAUUUCAUUGCAUGCCCUUCUUCUUGUUCUGAUCUUUUGGGGUGUGCGUGUGUGUGAGGUUGAUUGAUUGAUUGUUUGUUUGUUCCUUCAUCAACACAAUGAAGAUAUCUGAUGAGAACAGUUCUAAACCAAUCAACCCUACAAGUUUUCAAGGAGGGAUAGAAUGCGUGGGGAACAGAAAGAUGGGGCAGAACAGAAGGGCUUUAAGCGUGAUCAAUCAGGAUCUGGUGGCGGAAGGGAGACCUUACCCUUGUGUUGUUAACAAGAGGGCAUUGGCAGAAAAACACAAUGUUUGUGAGAAGAAGCAGGCGGAUCCGGGGCAUCGACCCAUCACAAGGAGGUUUGCUGCACAAAUUGCUAGCACACAGAAAAAUCGUGCGGAGGGAACCAAGAAGUCAAACUUGGGGAAUUCAAAUUCGAAUGGAUUUGGAGAGCACAUAUUUGUCGAUGAAGAACACAAGUCAACAACGGAUGACCAGCCAGUGCCAAUGUCUUUAGAGAAGACAGAGCCAAUGCAUAGUGAAUCAGAUCAGAUGGAGGAAGUUGAGAUGGAGGAUAUAAUCGAAGAAGAGACUGUUUUGGACAUUGAUACCUGUGAUGCAAACAACCCUCUUGCAGUCGUGGACUAUAUUGAAGAUCUUUAUGCCCACUACAGAAAAUUGGAGGGUACUAGCUGUGUCUCGUCGGAUUAUAUGGCACAACAAUCUGACAUUAAUGAAAGGAUGAGGGCUAUACUGAUUGACUGGCUUAUUGAGGUGCACGACAAAUUUGACCUCUUGCACGAGACAUUGUUUCUCACAGUCAAUCUUAUAGAUCGAUUUUUGGCAAAGCAGACAGUGGCAAGAAAGAAGCUUCAGUUGGUUGGUCUAGUUGCCAUGCUUUUGGCAUGCAAGUAUGAAGAAGUUUCUGUACCUGUGGUGGGGGAUCUAAUUCUCAUAUCAGACAAAGCAUACACAAGGAAGGAAGUUCUGGAAAUGGAGAAGUUGAUGGUGAACACAUUGCAGUUCAACAUGUCUGUGCCAACAGCAUACGUUUUUAUGAAAAGGUUCCUAAAGGCAGCUCAAGCAGACAGAAAGCUUGAGUUAUUGGCUUUCUUCCUGGUAGAGCUAUCUCUUGUGGAAUAUGAGAUGCUGAAGUUCCCUCCAUCUUUGCUAGCAGCAGCUGCUGUCUACACAGCCCAAUGCACAAUUUAUGGUUUCAAACAAUGGAGCAAAACAUGUGAAUGGCACUCAAAUUACUCAGAAGAUCAGCUAUUAGAGUGCUCAACAUUAAUGGCCGCUUUUCAUCAGAAGGCUGGAAAUGGAAAACUAACUGGGGUACAUAGGAAGUACUGCUCAUCUAAAUUUAGCUAUACUGCAAAAUGUGAACCAGCACGUUUUCUUCUGGAGAACCCAUUGUAGCAGGGCCAUGUACAGCCACUAACAACAUCAUGAUCAUGAAUAUGACUUUCCAUGCACAUUUGAGCAACUUGGGUUGCACUUAUAUUGUUCAGAGAGGAUUAUGAAAAUCCUCUGCUGUGUUGGUUUUUUUCUUAAAUAUUUAUUGUUCUACUUUUGUUAUUUUUUCCACCCUUUCUUUUUCUUUUCUGUUAUGUUCUAACUGAACAGGAACAUACUUCGUCCAUUCGAGUCUGUAUUUCUCUUGUUCCCAUUGGAAACGAUGGCAUAGAAACAAUUUCAUUCAUUCAAUAAGUAUUUGAUUUGAUUUGAUUUUUGCUUU